GGUACGGGGGGGGCAAGCGUUGUUCGGAAUUACUGGGCGUAAAGCGCACGUAGGCGGCUACUCAAGUCAGAGGUGAAAGCCCAGGGCUCAACCUUGGAACUGCCUUUGAAACUAGGUAGCUAGAAUUCUGGAGAGGUCAGUGGAAUUCCGAAGUGUAGAGGUGAAAUUCGUAGAUAUUCGGAAGAACACCAGUGGCGAAGGCGACUGACUGGACAGAUAUUGACGCUGAGGUGGCGAAAGCGUGGGGAGCAAACAGG
rnacentral:rRNA from 1 species